CAUCAAACGCGUGGUCUCUUUGCAAACACGGAGAGAGAGAGAGAGAGAGAGAGAGUGAGUGAGAGAGGCCAGCGAAAAUGGCGGCUCUGAGACUGCCGGGUUUUCAAGCUCUCCACUUGUUCUGAUUUAACGGCGGAAAACAACAAGAGAAGGCUGAUUGUUCUCGUCGAGACUUUGAAGUUUCGAACUUGGACUUGACUAAUCGGUGAAAACGAAAUCCUGGUCCUGCUUUUGGAGAAAUUGUAAUCAUUUGAAUUCCUAAUUACGUCCAUGACAAUUGUCUGUGUUGCUGGUAUUCAAUCUUCCUUUUGAGUCCUUACGUGAGGAACACUGAAACUGAGAUCUCUGGUGAUCUGAGACCGAGGAUGUUAAGGAGAAUCGAUUAAGUGGAGAUUUUAUACGUCGCCAUUUUCUUGAAUUCCAUGCCUCUGGCGGGCAAUAAGGUUCUUCAAAGUGCUUCCCUUGAGCGAGAAGAUCCCAUUGUUCUUGGGAAGGGGUCUAGGCUGGUUCUUCGGGCUACUAUUGCAUAGAGGUGCAUACGUACAAAUGAUGUGGAAGGCGUCUAGAACUGCUAGACACCAUACAUUCUUUGAGAUGCUUGGUCAUUUCGGGUUUUGGAGAUUACUUCAAGAAAGAAGCAAAAAAGAUGGGCAUCGAAGCUUUCCAGAACCGAAUAUAUGGAUUACCAGACUAUGGACUUUGGGUUAGCAUUUAGGAGCACAGCAAUGAAUCUUUUCAUGCCUUGUGAAUCUGACUGAGCACAGCCAUGAUUCUCGGUACACAUAGGGGACGACAAAAGCAAUCCCAAAGGAGUAUUUUUGCCAACAAUCCGCUGGAAAAGUGAUGUAGUUGGUCACUGGUAUUGAUUCAGACGUAAAAUCGGGAGCAACCUCGAAUCCUUGAGGAAAUCACAUGGGAGGAGCUUCAAUUCAAGCAAAAACCCCCUUGAAAGAGGACAAGAGUUGUUUGGCCAAAUGCUUCAGGAUGCAUUUCAACUCUGAUGAACCGUCCAUAUAUGAUUGCCAUAUUAAGUUUGAGUAGAGAAUUGUAGACAAUCUGAUUCCUUUUAAACCCUUUUCUUGUGGUGAAUGUUUGAAUGCAACAGACUAAUCCGAUCGAGGGAUGGACAAUGACGCUGAUGCAGCGGACUCGUUAAAGAGCAUGCCGAGCAUCUGAUAAGAGCACUAGAAGAUCCAGCUGCAGUUGGUACGAGGAUCAUGUCCAGACAAGGACAAGGGAAAUGAUGAGUAGUGUUCGGUAGGUGAUAAUGAUGAUAAGGGUCAGAUUGACAGCUUCAGAUUUGGAGAAGGUAGGCAGGGAGGAUGGUGAAAGGUUGAGUCUUUGACUCGGUCAAAGUUAGGAUUUGACCCAAAAUCAGAAGGAAAAAAAAAACUAUGAUGGCCUUGACAAAGACACAUUUUUUUUCUUCUUCUUCUGAAUUUCUUUAUGUAAAAGUUGGAAUCUUUUGAGAGAACUUGGAUAAGUUUAGACUGGAGUUCAAAACAGAGAUUCUCAUCUGUAUUGUACAACAUACGUGUCGUUCUAUC